rnacentral:rRNA from 1 species
CCUACGGGGUGCAGCAGUGGGGGAUAUUGCACAAUGGGGGAAACCCUGAUGCAGCGACGCCGCGUGAGUGAAGAAGUAUUUCGGUAUGUAAAGCUCUAUCAGCAGGGAAGAAAAUGACAGUACCUGACCAAGAAGCCCCGGCUAACGACGAGCCAGCCGCCGCGGUAAGACGUAGGGGGCAAGCGUUAUCCGGAUUUACUGGGUGGAAAGGGAGCGUAGACUGUUAAGGAAGUCUGGAGUGAAAGCCCGGGGCCCAACCCCGGGACUGCGUUGGAAACUGGGUAGCUGGAGUACAGGAGGGGCAGGCGGCAUUCCUGGUGUAGCGGUGAAAUGCGUAGAUAUCAGGAGGAACACCGGCGGCGCCGGCGGCCUGCUGGACUGCAACUGACGUU